GUUCAUCAGUGAUCAUGUUACUAUAUUAAUCUGAGAAAUCGUUUCUAUACAUUGAUCUAACUUAUAGCAACGUUACAAUUCUGCAAGUAUAACGGAAUGCUGUAGAUGUCAUAGACCAAACCCUGCUGUGUCUAAGACUUGUCUAAAAUGAGUCUUAUCUGACUCUUAAAUGCUUCAAUCAACAAUUACUGAUGUGUACAUUGUGGGAGAAAGCUUCCUGAGCCUCAGCUGUCUUAUGAGGCCUCUGCCUACAAGCACUAAGAGGAAGCUUGAAAUAAUAUGAAGAUCAUGGUGAGAAAAUAAGCACAAGGAAUUCUUUGCAAUGUUCC
rnacentral:lncRNA from 1 species